AACGAACGCUGGCGGCAUGCCUAACACAUGCAAGUCGAACGAGACCUUCGGGUCUAGUGGCGCACGGGUGCGUAACGCGUGGGAACCUGCCCUUAGGUUCGGAAUAACUCCCCGAAAGGGGUGCUAAUACCGGUUAAUGUCCUAGGACCAAAGAUUUAUCGCCUUUGGAUGGGCCCGCGUUGGAUUAGCUAGUUGGUAGGGUAAAAGCCUACCAAGGCGACGAUCCAUAGCUGGUCUGAGAGGAUGAUCAACCACGCUGGAACUGAGACACGGCCCAGACUCCUAGAGGAGGGGGCAGUUUAGAAUAGUGGACGAUGGGCGAAAGCCUGAUCCAGCGAUGCCGCGUGAGUGAUGAAGGCGUUAGUGUAGUAAAGCGCUUUGAGCCGGGAUGAUAAUGACAGUACCGGGAGAAUAAGCGCCGGCUAACUCCGUG
rnacentral:rRNA from 1 species